CCUACGGGAGGCAGCAGUGGGGGAUAUUGCACAAUGGUGGAAACCCUGAUGCAGCGACGCCGCGUGUGGGAAGACGGUCCUCUGGAUUGUAAACCACUGUCCCCAGGGACGAAGAUGACGGUACCUGGGGAGGAAGCUCCGGCUAACUACGUGCCAGCAGCCGCGGUAAUACGUAGGGAGCGAGCGUUGUCCGGAAUUACUGGGUGAAAAGGGAGCGUAGGCGGGACUGCAAGUUGGGUGUCAAAUCUACCGGCUCAACCGGUAGCCGCACUCAAAACUGCAGUUCUUGAGUGAAGUAGAGGCAGGCGGAAUUCCUAGUGUAGCGGUGAAAUGCGUAGAUAUUAGGAGGAACACCAGUGGCGAAGGCGGCCUGCUGGGCUUUUACUGACGCUGAGGCUCGAAAGUGUGGGGAGCAAACAGGAUUAGAUACCCGAGUAGUC
rnacentral:rRNA from 1 species